rnacentral:misc_RNA from 1 species
GAUGAAGAACGCAGCGAAAUGCGAUAAGUAAUGUGAAUUGCAGAAUUCAGUGAAUCAUCGAAUCUUUGAACGCACAUUGCGCCCGCCAGUAUUCUGGCGGGCAUGCCUGUUCGAGCGUCAUUUCAACCAUCAAGCCCCCGGCUUGUGUUGGGGACCUGCGGCUGCCGCAGGCCCUGAAAACCAGUGGCGGGCUCGCUGUCACACUGAGCGUAGUAGAUUUUCAUCUCGCUCAGGGCGUGCUGCGGGUUCCGGCCGUAAAAAGCCUUAUUUACCCAAGGUUGACCUCGGAUCAGGUAGGAAGACCCGCUGAACUUAAGCAUAUCAAUAAGCGGAGGA